UACGUAUGGUGCAAGCGUUAUCCGGAUUUACUGGGCGUAAAGGGAGCGUAGACGGCAAUGCAAGUCCGGAGUGGAAUGCGGCAGCUCAACUGCCGAACUGCUCUGGAAACUGUAUGGCUUGAGUGCAGGAGGGGUAAGCGGAAUUCCUGGUGUAGCGGUGAAAUGCGUAGAUAUCAGGAGGAACACCGGUGGCGAAGGCAGCAUACCGGCGCCCUACUGACGCUGAGGCACGAAAGCGUGGGUAUCGAACAGG
rnacentral:rRNA from 1 species